AAGAAAAUUCACUCAAUGCUCAGGCUUGAACACAUUUUGCUGUUAGAGAUUUAUAGCAAGCAUUUUGAACUUAUCCAGCUUGACACAUGUAAGUGUCUUUAGACCUAUUUCUUCUUUUUAGUGUGACAAACAAAAGUCCUCCCCCAAAAUAAAAACUGAGGCAUUUGAAGUUGCUACUGGUUUUGGCCAGCAAAAUCCUCUUUGUUUCUGUUCUUUGUGAGUUUAAUAUUCUUUAUAAGUGAGGGGCCUAUAUAGACUUUGUUUCCUCAGCUGGUUCCCAGUUAGUCAAUGCUUUCCUGAGGUGUUUCUGUAUCCUUUCUGCAAAAUAAAUUCCCAAAGUGGUUCACUGGAAAUAUGUGUCAUGAUCUAAAGCUUACCAAAGAUCUCUUCACUAGCUGUGGAUUAAAUACUACUUGAAGGUUUAGACAAAGGCUCUGAAAUAAGAGUACAAUUGCAUAAUCUGGAAGAGACUAUGCCAGUUUCCUUAUUUGUAAAAAAGAAAUUAUUUGUGGACCAAUUUGUGGUCCAUCCUGGACUAUGGAUAGUCCAGACUAAACUGACCUUACAGGAUUCAAACUGAGAUCAAUAACUGAGACUAGAAUUGGCUUUUGUAUCAGUUUGAAUAUGUGAAUAUAUAUACUCACCUGUUGAUGAGUAUGUGAUUUGCAAGAUUUUUUUUUUGGUAGUGGUUUAGUAUAGUUGACCUAAGUCCUUUGACUAACAAUGGAGGGGUUGUGGAUAGUCAGCAAACGAUCUGACUGACUAGUGAAGAAAGUGUGUGAAUGAAUGUUUGAUGAAACAGUAAACACUACCACUGCAUGUUGUGAAGCAAGCAGAUCUGUGGAAACAACCAGAAAUGGAGCAGUUUCUUAGAGCAGUGUCUCUCUUAAUCUGUGUGCAAAUAUCAGAAUUCUCUCCCAAAUAGGUCUAAGUGAAAAUCAGUUUACCUACCCGCAAAAUGUAAUUGCAAUUUAUUGGGAAAUGAAGCCAUAAAAUAAAAAUAUGAUCUUACAUCAACUUGUAAAGGAAAUUUUAGAUAUUUGCAAGCUUCAUUCUCCUUCCUUGUUCCACCCCUGUUAUAUACCCAUUUGAGUGAAGAAGAACCUGGUCCUCUGUUCCGACUCAAAUCAGAAAUUUGAAUCUGAAUGCUCUGACAACAAGAGGCUGAGGCAGUUGUUAAUUGCAAAAUCAACUCUUCAAUUAGAUGGUCUUUCAAAACAUCCUUUUCCCUGAGCACCAUUACCAGAAAUGUCUGAAGUCUGUCUCCAGUCAUCCUGGCCAAAUGAGAUACCCAAAAUGCGAUGCUCAAACAGAAAGACUUGUCAAGUCAUGAUUAGCUAAGCUAUUGGACUCCCACCUUCUCUUAAAGAGAUCCCACAUAAAGCCCAAGUGAAAUGGGCUAGUUUAAUGUGCUUCACUUAUUUUCUUUUCAAUUUCCAUGCAUUCUUCUAUUACACUUUAUUAUACAGAGCUCCACAGAGAAUUUGAUAAUUACCUAUGCAUGAGAAAACACUCCCCCUUCUUAGCCUAAAUUCCCUUAUCCUGAGGGUCAAUUUGGAAGUUAUUUUUCCUUUCAAAGUGAUCUUUGGCAGAGGUGUCAAUCUGCACUUGGAAUGAUGCAGGUUUACAUAAAAAACCAAGACUGCAAUUGAGAAUUUACAGGCAAUUCUCAUUUAGGAAAAGGAAAAAUAAGAAACAGUAGGGAAGGAGCAGCUAUAGGCUAUGUAAUAGUUGUAGAGCAGCAAUAGUCAAUGCAUAAAAAACCCAGAAUGCACCAGUUUUCUAAAAUGUUUAUCAUGUCAGACAGUUUUAUGAUAUUAGUUGUGCAAUAAAGUAAUUUUGAAGUCAUGUAUUUCCUGGAAGCUAAUGACUGGACACUGGAUCUGACACGCCAUGGAAGGGCUUGUCAUUUUAUCUUACUGUAUUAUUCUGUGGAAGAAGCAGACAUCAUGAUUAUGUCAGUAAAAUUCUGAACCACUUCCCCCAAGAUUUUAAUAGCAUCUGAUUUAUUGCAUUUAGUGAUCCUCUAUAGGAAAAAACUGAUGAAGUGCUUUAUAGUUUUAGCAUAUCUCCACUUUUCUCUGCCUUUAAAACUCUAAUCUCUUUUUUAUGUAGGGGCACAGACCAACAAAACAACCAUAGUUCAGAAGAUAUUUUUCCAGAAACAUGAAAUCUCUCAAACUCUUUAACCAUGAGAGCUUAUAUGAAGAUGGUUUUGUACUGUGAAGCAGAGGACCACAUCCCUUUCACAUGGAAAUCAUCAUAAUACUCCUGACUUCAUUCAAAAUCAGUAUAACUUUGCUCAUUUCUGUUAAAUGGGUGUCUGACCCAAGGUUUCCAUAGAGAACUGGUGGCCUUCCUGUGCAUAUUUCAGUUUUGAAAGAAUUUCUCUGGAGUGUUUUCUGAUAAAACUAGUGAUUUUCCCAACACAUUUUCUAGUAGCAGCUGCAUUAGUAAGUAAGUAAAAUUAUCCGAGAACUAAUCUGUGGUUGCAAGUUGCACAUAGUUUUCUCCCUGCUCUCAGAGUCUUCAUGCAUCCAACCUGUUGGGAAUAGUUCCUUGCUUAGAAUUUUCCAUGAAUGCUGCUUGGGCACUGUGUAGGACAGUCCUGGUUGGCUCAGGUCAAAGCUCUUUUAGGGACUAUGCUCAGAAUUCAAGAGUAGGAUUGACUGUAUACAAAAACUUUUGCCUGUGACUUGUUUAGAUGUUACUUUUAGAUCUGGUGCCUUUGUUGUGUAGGUAUUCAGUUUAAUUAGGAAAGUGAUUUUUUUCCCCUUAAAAUUGAUACUUGAGUAAACUGCAUCCUGUUGACUUCAGAACUGUUACACAAGUUUGGUGUCUCUUGCACGGAACUGCUUUGAAUGUGGAGCUAGUUUUAUUAAAUUAUUGACUCUGAAAAUAAGUUCUAUAUUGUCUUCUGAUGCAUUUUUUUUUCCUGGAAAAUCAAGAUGAUCACUACAUGCACAUCAUGCAAACUGAGUUUAUAAAUGUUUUUAAAGUCUUUGUUGCUCAGUAUAUAUCUCCACAAUUAUGGUAAAAGUGCAGUUCUUUAGUUAUGCAAUAAUUGUAGUCAAAGUUCUGUGCAAAAAUACUGAGCUUUGAGCAGGAUAUUGAAAACCAGCGUGGGAAAUCAGAUGAAGAAAAAUUAAUAUGUUUUACAAAUAUCAAUUUCCCUUUCUAUAUGACCUGAAUAUCUGCAGUUACUAUAAACACUACAGAAUAUGUAUCUGUAGAAACAAAUAGCCAAAAAAAUGUAUAUAUUUCAAUCCAGAAAGUGAAUAUAUGAAAGAACAUUGUCAGGUUAUGCUGUAUAGUAGUUGUUCUUCAUUUCAGAUAUUUCACAUUCUGUAGAACAGCCUAAAUUUACCUGCUCAGGCACACUGCUAAACAAGUUGCUAGAUUCUAUUUUGAUGAAACAAUUGCUUUUCGGACAUGAUGCUCUAAUAAAAUGUGCUGUCCUUCCAGUCAUGUAAUCAACUGCAUAUAGGGCAACAGCAAUCCAACCCAUGCAACAGCAGGUCUGUCAGAAAUUUACUUCCUUUGAUGCAAAUAUUUAUGAAAAAAAAAGUGCUUCUUUCUUUUUGCUUUAUGUUGUUUUUGUUUUUCUUUAGCGGAAUACAUCUAAGUUGCUGGCAGUUCCACUAUUAGCUGGCUAAUACUGAGAUUGUUAACUUUCAUUAAGUCAGUAUGGAGCUUGAUUCCCACUGUUCUUUCAACUUCCAUUAGAACCUAUUUAAUUGAAGCUUUUCAUACAAUGUCUGUUAACCCUGACUGAGACGUGCUCAGUUUUUAAAGAAAAUUGCAGCUGUUCCAUUUGGGCCAUUUACAUCUGUAACAGAAGGUCACCUACUAGUUAUGAAUGAAAUUGUGACACCUUAGGUCUUGUGGUAUUUUAUUUACUUAUUUACUUUCUUACUUAUUAAUGUAGAAAAAUCUAGUCAGUAUGCCAAGUCAGGACUUUUCUAAGUUCUUUGCCAGACUAGUCUCAAAUUUGGAUCCUGAGCACAAAACCACCCUAUAAGUUAAUGUUGCUAUAAUGUUUCCUGAGAUGCUUAAAGUGUUCUGUUUCUGCAGUAAAAUUUGCAAAAGCAAUCAAUUUUUGAUAGUGGAGAGUAGAUUUAUGUUUCUCUUAUACUGGUACCCACCAGGAGCCAUAACCUAGGGACCUCUUCUAGUUUUUCUGCACAUUCUGACCCAACAAUUAUUUACUGCAUGCUGAGCAGAGUAUGUUCUGCAUAGAGCAUAGCCAAAAAGGGCUGGUUAGAGCACUCACAAUGGAUGCAGAUAAUGUAAGUCCAGCUCUUUUUCACCCUUCCCCUCACCCUAAGAGCAUUUGAAUGCAUCUUUUCCAUGAGUGAUUUAACUAUGAGAGUCUCUUUGGGUCUGCCUCCCAGAUUUCUUAACGAACCUUUUAUCUGAGACAGGAAUAUUUUCUUCAUCUGUCUAAGCUCUAAAAGUCAAUUUGUUGUCUGGCUAUAUUUUAAGAAUUCAUUCAAGAAGCAAUUUCCACGUGGCCAGGAGGCAUACAUCUCUACACUACUUUCUUUUGGGUGGGUAGAAAUCACAGCUCAGAUUUAUCUUACCAAUGAGGGAUUUGAAAGCAUCUCAGAAGAAAAGGAGCUCUUGGAUUACUCAGAGGGAGGGGAAUGCAAUGCUGCAGAGGAACUCUGAGGAAUGGCUGACUUAGAUGUGGUUUUAGCAUUAUGUCAUACUAGAAUGUGAAUCUUGCAAGGCAGGUCUCUUCAGCCCUUAUUAAUACAGUAAGAGUAGAGUGAAAAUCCAUGAAUGAAAGGAAAAGAGCUUCCUAGCUUCUUGAGAGCUGCAAUGUGUGAGUAUCGCUCUAAAAGCAUGAAGAGGUGUAUCUGUUGGUAAUGUAGAUGAAGGGUCCAUUUAACACUGACAAUACAGGCAGGGAUAACACUUUUUCCAUUUAUUUUCUUGUGAAUUCCUCAGCACCCCUAUGUUAUAACCAUGGGAAAAUUGCUUCAUGGUUUUAUUUUAUGAGCAUUGUAUAGGUAACGUUUUCCCAAAGAAGUGGCUAUUUUAAUGGAUGUUUGAAUGUCACAAAUUCAUUAACACUAAAAUAGUACAGAUAUUGUUAUAUUUCUGUUGUCCCUUCCUAUAUUUUUGAUUACAUACAUACUUCCUAAGUUAUCUACUCCUUGACUACUCAUAUGGUAAGUAUAGUUUUUGUAAAAAUUAAAUAGUUACACUCAAUAAUCCAUUAAAGUCUCCACACAUUAGACUGCAUUAGAAAAAAAGUCAAUAAUGUAAUGAUGAGACCUAUUUGACUUUUGAAAAUAUUUUCUCAUUGCAGCAGUGUCUUCCAAACUUGGUUAGGGCUGUUACAAGAGGGAUUAUUCCAGCCUGCUGUCAGUUUUUGUCUUGAGAAUACUUUGAUAUUAAAUGCCAGAAUUACUAUUUAAUUAGUUGUAGAAAACAUACAUUUUUGCUGGAGCACAAGUAUUUUUCUGUACAUAUAAAGUAGGAAACUUUUUUUGUUGCCAUAAACAUUAUGUUUUGAUGGCACACAUGGCUUCAGGAGCUGUGCUACCACAUGUCAGCCCUGGUCCCAGGAGACAUGACUCGGAUAAGAGAGGGUGAAGGCUGUUGCUUUCACAGCACUUAUUAAAUCUACUCCCACUCCACUAAGUGAUAUCUAAUUUCAUAUUAUCAACCACUUUGAUUUUUUUAAUUUCCAGGAUGCAGAUAACAGAGUGCACCUUGAGUUGCUGAUUAAGUCUUUUUCAUAGUUAGCCUAAGCAGUGCUCAUCCUCAGGUGAAUUGUUUCAACAGCCUCUGCCAAAUCAUAUUUUACCAUGAAGGAGAAUCAAGCUUCUUCAAUAUAUCUAGAAUUUAAUGAUGUACCAUUAAUCCUUGUUUCUUAAUUAAAUUAUCUGAAAAAAUAUCUACUUAUAUUUGGAAUUAAAUACAAAAAUCCAGUAUAGUUUCACUGUGCCCAUAUAGUAUUUUACUUGACCUUCACAGCUGUAUUAAUUUGCACAAGUAUUGUCUUGAAUUGAUUUCAGGGUUUUUUCUUUUCUUUUUUUUCCCCCUGGUAAUACUUCAGUGGUUUCCCUGUGUUAGUUUUAAAUCCAAGAUACAGUCUGUUCAGUUCAACACUGAAUACCACUGCAUGUUUUUUUCCAGCAUAUUUUGUCCCUUGGUCUGUGAAAUCUUCAUGCAAUGGGCACUGAUGACAGCAGUGUUAUCUCCAGAUUCCCUGGGCAGCUUCUAUAUUUUUAGGAAUGUACCUAUUACAUGAUAGUUCCAUUAGUCCUGCUCUAUGUCAUUCAUAGUUUCCAGCUGUUGCUUGUUAUUGUGCUCUUUGCUUUACAUCUCUACUGUUCUCUCUUGUGAAGAGAUAUUGUUCUCCCUGUCCCUACCUGAGCACUAUUUUUGUAUUAUGAGAAUGCUCAAAUGCUAUUUCAGCUCUGUUUGGCUCAUCUUCCAUGUAUUGAGGCCACCUGAUACAGGACUUCUGCUUUGGGAGUGGUAAGUAACAUUGCCUGCUCUUGAAUCUGAGUGACAGUGUCUCUUCCCAGAAGUGGGCUCCUUUUAUAUCUGUCUCCUUUUAUAUGUGUGACUAUUUUUUCUCUUAUUAGUUCUCUUUUGAAGUCUACAUAUCUGCAGCAUUCAGCAAACCUAUCAAGUGCUGUCAUGAAAUCUUCAUCAUUUGCCUUUUAUUCCUAGCAGUUUGUUGUAGCAAGUGAUCCUGAUACUCUUGCUUGGAGGAAGUCAUAAAGAAUAAUAGACUACUCCAGCUUCUGAGGCAUGCUUUCCUGUGUAAACAUAGAGAAAACAGCUGGAAGGAGCCAGUUCUGUUGCACCUUAAGAAUAGUUUCACAUCAGUUUGUUUCUUAGUCAAAUUAGGAGAUCUCAGUCAGCAGCUUGCCACUGUCACUUCUUCUUGAACUGGUUUCCUUAACUCCAUAAUGAAAAUCUGUCUCCAAAGAAAGUUUGUUAUAUAUUUUCUUAAUUAGUCUAAUAGCAUAUAUUAUAACUAUAAUAUAAAACCAAGACAAGAAAUUGUGAUAUUUAUUGUACAAAACUGUUUUCUCUGACUGAAGUAUAUUAAAAUCCAUGAGAAAAGCUAACUUGUUUUGACACCAGGACACAUGAGAGCAGCGUGUUGCAUAGCCCUGAUGGUAUGUAAUCAUAUUAUCUGAUUUAUAUCUGGAUCACUGGUAUUCUUUGUGCUUUAAUCAGCUUCAGAAGUUAACCAACUUAUGCUGGUUUAGAAUGUUGUAUCUGGAGGAAAAUUGCUUUCCUGUGAAAUGACAAAACUGAUUAAUAUUCAAUAUUGUAGCUUCUGAAAACAGGUAUGUUAUUUAGUUAACUAUUUUAGCUAUACCAAAAAAGUCAGUGAUACAUAUUGACAAUUGAGCAUGUAAUUGAAAUAUAUUUUUAAGGAAAACUGACUUUUAAUAUAUGAUUUAUUUUUAAGAAAAUAAUUGUCAAUGCUAUGGUCCAAUUUUUUUUAAUGAAAACAGAAAACCAAAGAUUUUUUUAAGAUUUUGGUGAAUGCUAUCUAUCAAAGCAAUGGUAUCUAUCAAAGCAAUAUCAAAGUCUGCUGAACUCAGUGAGAAUAUAUGACUCAUAAAGUCAUAUAAUAAUUUAAGAUGGAAGGUAUUUCUGAAGGUCGCGUAGUCAAAAUUCUACUCAAAGAGGAACUGACUUCAAAGGUUUUUUACAGGAUACAUUUUUCUGGAAGACUCUAUACAGACGCAGACACCUGUGAUAGUCUGUGUCUAAAUGUGCUGUUUACAUAUAUGUGGGGGAUCAAAAUAUGACUUUCCAACAGAGAGUAGUGUGAAGCUUGCUUUCACAGUUUGGCAUGGCUUCUUGCAUUUCCUCCAGUUGUGAAAGCGUUUUCAGCUUGAACCUCUGAUUAAAAAAAGCUUUGCAGUUCAGCUUCAAAUAAACAUUCAUUUUAGUUCACAUUUCUAAGAAUACUAUUUUUUCCUUUGCUUUAGUUUUGAAGCCUGCUGCACGUGUAUGGAUGAAAAUUAUAAAUAUAAGUACGUCCUUUGCAUUUUUUAAAACCAAUUUUUCAAAACCAUUUUUUAAAACCAAUUAUUGAGUUUUGUGAGAUUCGAUAUGUGAGCAUGAUGAAGAAGGGAGAAGAGAAGAACAGCUCUGGACCAUCUUCUUUGCCCUUCAUGAGGGUUGAAUUGGAAGUAGGAGUAUUGAGUCAGGGUUGUGUGACUGUCAGGAGCACUGGCGCAAAAGUAUGGAGGGGGUAGAAUCUGGUUCAGACCUGUGCAGUGAGAGAUUGCUACUCUUUCUCACUCUGAGUGGCUUGUGUGGGUGCACACACAUCGUCCCCAGCAAUCAACUGCUGCAUGUACUCUUAUGACUCACCCUCACCCAAAAUAUUCACAGACAAUGUAUACAUAUACUAGAAAUAAACAAAUAUGCACUUGAAUAUAUCCUACAGAAAGAUGACAGAAUUUAUAGGUGUCACAUUCUGCAUCUUAAUUAGAUAUUCUCUUUUGAAUCUCCUCUAAAGAUGCAAAAGCAAGUCCCAGAGCAUGUCUAUUCAUGUUGUAGUACCUUGGCUCUUGAUUCUAAAAGUGUCUAAUAGCACUUGAUUUGUCAGUUUUUAUAUAUGUGAUCUAGGAUUUUGUUUGAGUCUCUGAAUACCUUCUCACUGGCACAUGUCUGAAGCUGCCUUUAUACACAUAAGGAUUUUAUUUAUCAUUUCAUAACUUUUAAAAUUAGAAAAUAGAUACAUAAUUUUAGAGAUAUUUUGUGAAAUUACAUGGAAAAGCAGUUAUGACAAAAAGGAUAAAAAUCCAUACACUUAGUGUGCCUUAUUUAGUUUGUCAAAAACACUUGAGCUGUUGAGAGAAUCUAAUGUAAUUCAAUGAAUCUGCAAGUACAUUUUCAGCCCAUUGAAAAUGACUGUCAAUUCAAGGUUACUUCAUAAAACUGAAUCAUGAACAAAAAUUACUUGGUGAAGAUGAAAAAGGCAAAGAAGUAAAACAAAUAAGGAAAUGGGUAUUAACAAAUUAGAAAUUAGACCAACAAAAAAUGUUAAUAGAGAUUUAUGGAAUAAAAAAUAUUUUUUUCUUAUAUGGUCUUUCUUUGACCAUUAUUGGCCUAUCUAUGUUUCAUUAUGUAGAAAAAUUGUCUAUUGACUUCAAUAGCACUCUUUCAAUUCAUGCAGGCAACCAUUUCCCCUUGAAAAAAUAAUAAAUAUUAUUAAUGAGUAUUUUUUAUGCAAAUGGAAUUGCAAAGCUAUUCCUUUCUCCAUAUAUUUUUCACCCAAAUUCCACUUUUGAGCUAGCAUUAAAAUAUGAAUAAAUUUAGUAAUUCAUAAGUGUAUAUCAUUAUCUUUCUUUUUACACAUAGUCUUACGGCAGAAACAUUUGUCUUCUUGUUAAUUUUUCUUCAUUUCUUGCCUUCAAAUUGUCAUUUCAAGUGUGAGAUGCUUAUAAGAUUACAAUUAUCUACUCAGUUAGAAUGGUUAUUUAUCAAGUAUAGAAUUAGUGAAAAAAUAAAGCCAUUAGAGUCUUUCUCCCCUUUGUUUUCUGUUCCAAUUCCCCAGCUAGAACUGAGUUGCUGCCUACACAUUUGCACAGAUAGUAAUAUUAACUAUUGCUCAAAAAUAUUGGUGAGCUGGGUUUGCCAGAAGGUAAUGGUCCUGGGUAUAGUCAGACAUUCCUGGCAGACAAAAAGGAACAGAUUAAAUUUCAUUCAGCUGCAGAAGACCAAGAAUAUUGUUCUCUUUUGUGUGUGUGUGUGUAUUUUCUUUAUGUUUUGCUUUCUGUUUCCCUCAUGUCUUCAUAAAUUAGGCAUUUCUUGGGGCCUUUUAAAACACUGAAACCUGCUCAGUAUAUGCAGAGGAGGCUAAAUUCUGGACUCUGAUUUUUGAUGAAAGAAUUCUGGACUCUGAUUCCAAACUUGAAAGACAAGUAUUACUCAGCAUUUCCAUCUGGCCAUCAGUAUCUGUUCUCCUUCUCAAACAGGGGAUUUCAUGAAAUGAGUUUACAUUUGCUUUUAAUGCGCCAGUAUCUGUUUCAGAUAUCUGCAUUGCUACAGUGAGGCACUGUGUUUCAAAUGAGGCAGCAACAAAACUGUUCAGACCCCACAGCUUCCCAAAGUGCCUGUCAGCAGCUCUACAUGGCUGAGCAAGUGCAAGGGCUCCAAUCCUCUUUCAGACUCGGACAGGAGGAUCCUUUACUCCGAAUCAUGAAGGAGAGAUACAAAUAUGCCUGGCUUACUCCCCACUCCCUGGCUGUGGCCAAGGCCUUUCCACUGAAACUCUGCAACAUAAAGACCUUGCCAUUGAUGAUGUGGAUUUAUGGUAGCAUCAGGCUCCAUCCAGGAGGAAGGACCAUUAAAGGUUGCACCUAAUUGCCACCAAUGAUUCCUGCACUGCAAUUUUUCAGAAGAUACAGCAAAGCAGAUUUUCAUGACAAGUAUAAAAAGCACUCUUCUGAGACAAUGCAGCCAUUCCUCCAUUUCUAACCCUUAUGCCAAGCUAAGAGUAUUUAAGCCAUUAUGGACUAAGGUAUUGUCCUGGAUUAGGGCAAAUCUGGGAGAAAACCUCCAAAAGGGGCCCACCAGAAAGCAAACCCACACAGGCCCUUCCCCCCACUGGUUUGGGAAGGAUUCCUCAGAGAGAAGUAGAAAGAACCUGUUUAUUUAACAAGCGAAACACCCCCAGCACACAAAAUGAACAAUACCAGAUGACAACACUUUCACCGAUCUGAAAAGGAUAACAAAUUCAGAAAUUUGUUUUCCUGGGAGUGGUCACUCUGUUGUUGCUCCCUCCGGCGCUGGAGAUAGCUGCUGCAGCCACCAGAUGUAAACUCUUGGUGUUUCCCAGGUCCCAGUCUGGAGCAGGUUUGGAUGGUUCCAAAAAGGGAAGGGAAAAAAACUGUCCAGGGGAAAAAAUCUGGACCGCUUAGCUAAACUAACUAACAGAAGCAAAAAAGCAAAAGCAGAGCAGAAGCAAAGCAGGAGUGAAGCAGGAGCAAGAGCAAAGCAAGCAGCAAAAAGCAAAGCAAAAAGCAAAAGCCGCACGAUGUACUGCCUCGUCUUUCUGUCCCGCCAGCCAUGGGGGAGCAGGGUGAUAACGAACCAAAACAAACCUUGCUCUUCAGAGCCAGUCUUGAAGGCACAGUACAUAAUAUCCAGCACUAACAGAACACACAAUUGGGGAUACAGGCAUCAUAACCUCACCCUAGGACAGGUAUCCAGAAAUUUUAAACACACACACACUACUAUUUGAAAUUACUGAGCUGCUCUAGCUAACAUUAAAAAAAGUAGAACAAAAAUAUAAGUUUGAUCUGAGAUAGGCACCACAGACAUCAAAAAGAAAUCAGUCUAAAAAAUACAAAUUUUAUAAAGUUGCAACAUAACAGAAAAUGAGGCAGGCUAGUGGGCAUUUUGACAGGGGAUAUAAAAGUAUACUGCUGGGCCAGCUCCAUAUUUUACUCAGAAACAAAGAAAAAAGCCCCAACCAUUUUCUGAGGAUUUGGAACAAUUUUAUUAGCAGAUGGAGAAAAGGGAAGAAACAACAGCUGAGAGCAGAAAAGAAAGAAAACCACUUUUUUUUUCUAUAAGAGAAGCAAAAUACUUCUAAUCUGUAUUGCAAGUUCAUAUCCUUAGUGGUUAGCUGCAGGAGAAGCUGUUGAUAGAGUCAAGAGAGGUUAAUGGCAGGAGAAAGCUGAAAGUGUAUUCUUUGCCAGACAAUACAAGUGAAAGUAUUUGGAGAACAAGUGAGUAUGAUAAUGCAACUUAUUAUGGAGCUUCAUUUUCUCUUAGCUCUGACAGAAAACAGCUGCCUCAGUACUUCACCAUUACCUGAGUAGUCAAGGUGAGAUGAGAUUGAGAAGAGUUUAUGACUUAGUUUUUCAGCAGCAGCAGUCAAAGUAAAAGGCAAGUAAAGGGCAAGAAUUGGACUCAGCAUUUUCAUUUUCCACAUGGGACUUUGUAUAUUACAUUUACAUUUUAUAUGUUACAUGCAAUUUUCUAAGCAUUUCCCUUCUGGCAUUUAUGCCACAUGAGAUGGUUGAUUAUUUGUUCACUGAAAUUAAUGUUACCACUUUUAAAUUAUGGUAGAUUCUUGCUCACAGAAAGAUGCAUACUUUAAUAUAAAGAGAGCAUAGCUAAGAGAUAGAGGAAGAGAGGAAGGAGCAGGGGAAAGAAAACCAGAAACAACAGAGGGAGAAAUUAAUAGAGGAAGGCAGAGAGGAAGGGAGAUAACAUUUUUGACAACUUUUGAUUCCUUGUUUGUUUCCUAACUUUUUAUGCAAUGAUAAGCUUCUUCAGAACUCUCAGUCUUAGUUUCUUGUCUUUAAAUGAAAGAUAAAAUUACUGAAAUAAUUUUCAUUGGUGCUUUGAAAAACUGAAAUAAGGAGCAGCUUGUACAGGAAAAAGAAAUUAAAUUAAUUUUUAAAAUAUAUUUCUGAAAAAAUGUUUUUUUAAAUGCUCAGUUUUGAAAAAGCUGUUCCAUCUUACACAAGAAAAGGUAGAAGGUUGUUAUGAGAGAAAUCAGAACCAUCUGUCUAGGUCACUUGUGUUACCUUAACUUUCUUUGCUUCAACUUUAGUCUCCUAAAACAUCUCUUGAUUUUCUAACUCCAUAACAUUAUGGAAGUGUUCCUACUCAGACCAUUCUGGGAAAUUUCAGAUUUCUGUGCACAGAAAAGGAUGUUGAUAAUGUAAUAAAUUUUAAUAUAUAUUUUUAAUACACUUAGGUAGUAUUAGAAAAAAAAUAGGGAGAAAAUUUACUAAACCAAGAGUAUCUCCAAGUUCUUCUAAAUCCACAAAUUGGAGAGGGUAGUAUGGGUCAGAGGGAUCAAUGAGAAAAGGAAUGAUGGUGCAUGGCAGUGCCUCAGUUUGGUGAGCAGUGUUCUUCCUCCAGAUAAAGGAAAUCAGUUUUUCCUCACUCUGUUCCAGUAUAGAGUAUAGGUGGUUGUCGGAGAAAUUCACAAGAUUAAGAGAUUUUUUAAUAUCUUUCCUUAAUUGGGUUUUAUUACCAAUAAAAACAUUACAUUUUAACUGUUUGCUUCAUUGCAUUUCCAGAAAUAUUUGACAGGCACAUGUCUGGUUGAUGUACUGGUUCUCAGGAACCCAUUGAGUUCUUGUAUUUGCUUGUACAUCAGCAAAGAUAAAAUCAUCCUUUUAAAUUUCAAGACAAGCACUUAACUUCAGUUUUCACACUGUUUAAGAUGAGUAUACAUAAUCUUCCAAAAUUAGACAGAGAAACAUGUUCUGUGCUGGACAGCUAAAAUCUUAGCUAAACUCUUAAAUAUGAACAAACAAAAACCGUCAGAGAUUUUAUUCUUAGGGUAAAAAAUGUAUAUUAAAAAUGUUUUCCACUUUCAAAGUACUACCUCCCUCAGAACUAACAAAGCUCCAUUUUAUCUUUCUAGGAUUUAUUACUGAUAAAUCCAUUAUGGGCAUUCAAGCUCUCUGUUGCAGUGUGAUGUCACCAGUUUCCCUUGGUUUCUCCCUGAAAUUUCCUUCCCCAGGUGGGCUGUAAAUCACCCUUCCUGUUCCCCACCCUUGACCCCUGCUGUCAACCCAGAAAUUCCAAGAGGAACAUCAAGUGAUUGGCAGGUUCAAAGGAUGCCCUCCACCCCCCGGGGGGCCAUUGGCCCACCCAAGUGUCCCUCUCACCUGAGACCCCCUCCCCCUGGUUGGUGGUCCCUGUGUCCCCUCCCCUGCCCCUCUCCCCAGGUAAAAGGACAAGCAGAGCAUGAGGUCAGGGUUCUGGUGGGAGAGUUCUGAUGGGAGAGUUGAGGGGAUUGUUGCAAGAUUCAGAGGCCAUGCCACCAAAAUAAAACUCUGGAUUAAAAACUCUCCAUGGGGACCUGCUCCUUUCUUCACCUCGCCUCAAAGGUUUCUCUGGCUCAGCAAGGCCUGAGGAGUGACCCCCUCAGCAGCAAGCUCUAUCCUGCAAGCUCUGGAGCUCAGGGCAUUACCGGACUUGUCCCCACGCGCCCAGCUACCACCACAGGUACUGAACAGCGUCUCUGGGGAGAAAACUCCACGGGUGCUGCUAUUUGGUCAGCAGCCGAGGCCAGACAGACCAAGGCAGUCCCGUCUGUAAUAUUGGUCAACUCCAAUAGCUCUCAAAUUUCGUAUUCCCCCAAGAUGUUAAAAUUUAAGUAAUAUAUUUGGGGUUCUUUUUUUAUUUUCUUGGUGUUUUCAGUUUAUUUUCAGUGUAACUGGGUUUCUGCUUAGGGAUGUUCUCCACAGGUAUCAGGACUUAUAAUGUUUCAUCACAAAGGCUAAAAAGACCCUCAGGAUCACUGGGUGCAACAGUUUGCUACUCUUCUUCUCUUAGCAAAACGUUUUUCUUACAGGAAAAAUGAUAAAAGAGAGGAAAAAUUUUCUAUAUAUGAUUAUAACUUGUGAAGAGAAACUGUUUAAGAUCGUCAUUCUGGAAGAUAACUUAAGACAAGCUGAAAAAGCAGUCUUCAUAUUUCUAGGGCAGAAAAAAUUCUAAAAAAAGAGUAGAGUUCAAUCAAUUCAGAGAAGUACAAGGGUAUAUUUUUAGAGACAGUAACCAAAAGCAAAACUAUUAAAUAGUGUUGUUACCUUUAAAGAAAUAAAAGUCAUAGCAUAGUUAAAACUCACCUAAUUGCAAAAUCAAAAUAGGAAGGCUAUCAAGACAUCAGUUUGAUUCAGUCAUUGACCCUCCAUAGAACUCAGAUAAGAGAAUGAGAAAUAUAAAACAAAGUAUCAAAUUCAGGUUACUAGGGAAGAAUUAAAAAGUGUAGCACAGGUGCGUAGAGACAAAAUUAUAAAGAAAAGAACUUAAGAAGAAAAAGAAGCAACUAUUAAGGAGAAACAAAAGUAUCACUAUAUCAUCCUAGAGGGAUCACAGUAGUCAGAUGCAAACAAUGGUCCAAGGAGAGGCUUGGUCUGAUACUAAACCACUAACCAAUGAUAGUUUUAAAUGGUCUCUUUGUGACUGUUUUCUCUAGGAUUUACUGCUGUCAAUACCAGCAACAAUUGUCAUUGGGGUAAAAUUAAUCUUAAAUAAAGAAAAUAAGCAUUUAAAA